UACGUAGGGUGCGAGCGUUGUCCGGAAUUAUUGGGCGUAAAGAGCUCGUAGGCGGUGUGUCACGUCGGCCGUGAAAACCUGCAGCUUAACUGUGGGCGUGCGGUCGAUACGGGCAUCACUGGAGUUCGGCAGGGGAGACUGGAAUUCCUGGUGUAGCGGUGAAAUGCGCAGAUAUUGGGAAGAACACCCGUGGCGAAGGCGGCUCUCUGGAACGCAACUGACGCUGAGACGCGAAAGCGUGGGGAGCAAACAGG
rnacentral:rRNA from 1 species